UUAUUUUGGCGCUUCGGAUUCAAGUGUUGUCGGUGAUUCAAAAGCUUCCUCCGACCGAUUCUGCAACUCUCGCCGCUCUCGCCGGUGAUUCAAGAAUUCAUCAGCUAUCCCCCAAAACAUGAGGGACGUGCAGAUCAAAGCCCUGCAGAAUAUUCGGGAUGAUUUAUUGCAUGGACUUUGGUCCGAGGGACGAAUCUUCAGAGGCCACGUCGUGGUCUUACAAUAUGGCUGAGCAGCAACCCGUUGAUCCACCUCUUAUCGAUGCACUCUGUUUGAUCAGCCCUGCUGCCAAUUAUGCUUUUGGUAUUGCCAACCAAAAGACCAACAUGUAUCUAGAUUAAACUGUUCAAUAUUGAAUCUGGUUUAUACUUAUUUAUUAAAUAUUAUCUACUUGUUUCAUGGGGAGACUAUAUGCAUGGAUUUUCUCUCUGAGACGGCUCUGGAUUCAGUUUUGUUGGAAUCUUGGAUGCCACAGUUGGGCAGUCUCAUUCAAGUAUGUAAACUUUUUUUUUCCUCAAUAAUGUUUCUGUAAUAUUUUUUAAUCAUUGUUUUCUUUAAUUACAGGCAUAUCAGGUUCAACAUAAUGCUGAUUUGCUGACUGUGUUGAGGACGUUUGCCAGGGAGGGGAUUUCUAAUUGCUGAAUGUUUACUUUUACAUCUACUUUACACCCUCUUUUUUAGAGGAACAUAGCUCCGAGGUUAUAUAGUUUUUAGUUAAUAUAUUUCUUAAUAAUAAAUACUUACAUUUUAAUUAGCUUCUAAGGUCUUUGAUGUUUCUAAGAGUGAUAUCUGCGGAACUAUUCCAGUUGAUGGACCUUUUGGGAAUUUCCCUAUAGUAAGGUACUUGUAUUUUCUUUAUC